UCUGUGUUGGAUUUAAUUUGCUUCCUCGGUUUAAAAUUAUAUAUAGAUAGAUAGAUAGAGAUCUGUCUGUCUAUCUAUCUAUCUAUCUUUCUAUCGUUAGUUCUGUAUCUUUCUGUAACCUCUUCCUGUUGUCUUAAAUACGCUUUAACCAACGAAAAAGUUUUUCCACAUUUUUUACAGAAGCACAACAUAUUGACAGUACAUAAAUAUUGUGUUCAACUUUUUCAUUUUGUUUACAUAGGCAUCGUCAUGUGAUCAUCACCUAAGAACUAGAACAUUAGCAGGCCCUAGAAGCCUCACUCUUGCCCCUCCCUUUAAUAUCUCAAAGGAUGACACUUCUGUGGUGUGUAGUGAGUCUCUACUUUUAUGGAAUCCUGCAAAGUGAUGCCUCAGGUAAGUGAAUGGCUUUUGACAAUGUAUUAAAAUGCAAGUCAUGUGUAGGGUAAUGAGUCCACUCU
rnacentral:sRNA from 1 species